AGCUCCAAUAGCGUAUACUAACGUUGUUGCAGUUAAAAGCUCGUAGUUGGAUUUCUGUGUGGGUGAGGCGGCCGGCCACUCGUGGUUGUAGCUAGUUAUCACCUGUACAUCUUGUCACAAGCCACGCUGGUCUUAAUUGAUUGGCGCUGGGGACUGACUCGUUUACUUUGAGAAAAUUAGAGUGUUCAAAGCAGGCUAUCGCCUUGAAUAUAUUAGCAUGGAAUAAUGAUAUAGGACUUUGGUUCUAUUUUGUUGGUUGUUCGAGAACCGAAG
rnacentral:rRNA from 1 species